GGAAUAUUGCUCAAUGGGAGAAAUCCUGAAGCAGCAACGCCGCGUGGAGGAUGAAGGGUCUAUGACUUGUAAACUCCUGUAAAGAAGGAAAAAAUUCCCAUUUGAUGGGAGAUGAUGGUACUUCUGGAGUAAGCCCCGGCUAACUACGUGCCAGCAGCCGCGGUAAUACGUAGGGGGCAAGCGUUGUCCGGAUUUACUGGGUGUAAAGGGUGCUCAGGCGGAUUUGUAAGUCAGAGGUGAAAUCUUACAGCUUAACUGUGAAACUGCCUUUGAUACUGCAAGCCUAGAGUAUGGAAGUGAGUGAUGGAAUAUCUGGUGUAGCAGUGAAAUGCGUAGAUAUCAGAUAGAACACCCAUGGCGAAGGCAGUCACUUGGUCCAUUACUGACGCUAAAGCACGAAAGCGUGGGUAGCAAACA
rnacentral:rRNA from 1 species